rnacentral:rRNA from 1 species
GAUGAACGCUGGCGGCGUGCCUAAUACAUGCAAGUCGAGCGAACAGACGAGGAGCUUGCUUUUCUGACGUUAGCGGCGGACGGGUGAGUAACACGUGGAUAACCUACCUAUAAGACUGGGAUAACUUCGGGAAACCGGAGCUAAUACCGGAUAAUAUUUUGAACCGCAUGGUUCAAUAGUGAAAGACGGUGUUGCUGUCACUUAUAGAUGGAUCCGCGCUGCAUUAGCUAGUUGGUAAGGUAACGGCUUACCAAGGCAACGAUGCGUAGCCGACCUGAGAGGGUGAUCGGCCACACUGGAACUGAGACACGGUCCAGACUCCUACGGGAGGCAGCAGUAGGGAAUCUGCCGCAAUGGGCGAAAGCCUGACGGAGCAACGCCGCGUGAGUGAUGAAGGUCUUCGGAUCGUAAAACUCUGUUAUUAGGGAAGAACAGAUGUGUAAGUAACUGUGCACGUCUUGACGGUACCUAAUCAGAAAGCCACGGCUAACUACGUG